CAGUAGCCGCGGUAAUACGUAGGGUGCAAGCGUUAUCCGGAAUGAUUGGGUGUAAAGCGUCUGUAGGUGGCUUUUCAAGCCCGCCGUCAAAUCCUAGGGCUCAACCCUGGACAGGCAGUGGAAACUACCAAGCUGGAGUACGGUAGGGGUAGAGGGAAUUUCCGGUGGAGUGGUAAAAUGCGUUGAGAUCGGAAAGAACACCAAUGGCGAAAGCACUCUGCUGGGCCGACACUGACACUGAGAGACGAAAGCUAGGGGAGCAAGUGGGAUUAGAUACCCGUGUAGUCCCUGUCUCUUAUAC
rnacentral:rRNA from 1 species